GACGAACGCUGGCGGCGUGCCUAACACAUGCAAGUCGAGCGAAUGAAAUUCCUUCGGGAAUGGAUUUAGCGGCGGACGGGUGAGUAACACGUGGGCAACCUGCCUCAUAGAGGGGAAUAGCCUUCCGAAAGGGAGAUUAAUACCGCAUAAGAUUGUAGUACCGCAUGGUACAGCAAUUAAAGGAGCAAUCCGCUAUGAGAUGGGCCCGCGGCGCAUUAGCUAGUUGGUGAGGUAACAGCUCACCAAGGCGACGAUGCGUAGCCGACCUGAGAGGGUGAUCGGCCACAUUGGGACUGAGACACGGCCCAGACUCCUACGGGAGGCAGCAGUGGGGAGUAUUGCACAAUGGGGGAAACCCUGAUGCAGCAACGCCGCGUGAUUGAUGACGGCCUUCGGGUUGUAGAGCUCUGUCUUCAGGGACGAUAAUGACGGUACCUGAGGAGGAAGCCACGGCUAACUACGUGCCAGCCGCCGCGGUAAUAC
rnacentral:rRNA from 1 species